rnacentral:pre_miRNA from 1 species
AGUGGAAUUGGUGGGUCAAAUGGUAACUCUAACUUUUUGAGGAACUUCCAAAUUGUUUUCCAAAGAAGCUAUACCAUUUUAUUUUCCCACCAGAAAU